rnacentral:lncRNA from 1 species
CGCGUAAGGACCCGGCGUCCUGAGUUUCCUAGGCUUGGAGCACGGGUCCCCGGUUUCUCCACCAGGCGAAAGCAAGAAACCAUCAUAACUAUUACUAGUCCUCUCCCGCGCUUAGUGGCCUGGACAACCCUGUCCUAAACGAGGGGAAAGCGAUCAGCAAUAUUAAUGAUUUGCAGGUUGUUAUGAAACAGCCAGUACUGAAUCCUUUGACAAAAUUUUGCUGACGAGGACAUUACAUUGAAUUUUGCUUGUUGCGAGAUGAAAAUGCUCCGAGGACAGGUACCUUGCCUUAAAUGUGGCAUUCUACACAUUAAACAGAUUCAGUAAAUGUUAAGGAAUGAAAACUUGGCUAUAUUCCGGUUAUGUCCAGAGCAGAAAGGUCAGAUGAAGGGGGCGGCGGGGGGAUUCCCAUUAGCUUUAUUUGGACCACAUGGCAGAGUGCAACGUAGUGGUGUAACUAAUAGCCUGCCUAACCGGCAUCCCUGUUUGUUGGCGCUCUCCCCUAUUUAGUCCACUUCCACGGUUGUUUGCAAGAGCUUCCCGUAGUAUAAACUAUACAGUUUCAGCCUAUUUAAAAUCCAGUCCUAAUCGCCCA